CGUCACAGCCGACCGCACACGGGUGCGCGGGAGAUCGAGAAGGACGUCGACGACGUCGCCAUGGAGGGCGACAUGGAGUCGGACCCCGCGCUGGCGCGCGAGCGGCAGCUGGAGCCCGUGCAGCCGUGGCAGGAGCAGCUGACGGUGCGGGGAAUGGUGGCGGCGCUGUUGAUCAGGUUCAUCUACACCGUCAUCGUGAUGAAGAUCGCCCUCACCACAGGGCUGGUGCAAACGCUCAACGUCUCCACCGCGCUGGUCGCCUUCCUCGCGCUCCGCGGCUGGACCGGGCUCGCCCGCCUCGGCAUCAAGUCCCGCCCCUUCACCCGACAGGAGAACACAGUCAUCCAGGCCUGCGCCGAUUCCUGCUACACCAUCGCAAGUGCCGGCGGGUUCGGGUCGACCUUGCUGGGUCUCAACAAGAAGACGUACGAGCUUGCCGGGGACUCGCCGGGCAACGUGCCGGGGAGCUACAAGGAGCCAGGCAUUGGGUGGAUGACGGGAUUCCUCCUGGCUAUCUGUUUUGGGGGGCUCCUCAGCCUUAUUCCCCUCAGAAAGGUUUUGGUGGUCGACUACAAACUAACCUACCCUAGUGGGACAGCAACUGCUGUUCUUAUUAAUGGGUUUCAUACCCCCAAGGGAGACAAGAAUGCAAAGAAGCAAGUCCAUGGGUUCCUAAAAUACUUCGGGAUCAGCUUUAUGUGGAGCUUCUUUCAAUGGUUCUACACUGGAGGCCCUGUUUGCGGUUUUGUGCAGUUCCCUACUUUUGGUCUCAAGGCUUGGAAACAAACGUUCUUCUUUGACUUUAGCCUCACGUAUGUGGGUGCGGGAAUGAUUUGCUCACACCUAGUGAACCUCUCCACUCUCUUGGGUGCAGUUCUUUCAUGGGGGAUAAUGUGGCCACUCAUUAGCAAACAGAAGGGGGUUUGGUACCCUGCAGAUGUACCAGCAAGCAGCAUGAAAAGCUUGUACGGUUACAAGGCCUUCUUCUGUGUAGGUCUAAUAAUUGGAGAUGGCCUUUACCAAUUCUUGAAAGUCACAUAUGUCACUAGUAAAAGCCUACAUCAACGAUUAAACAACAAAGUUGUUACCAACAAAGCAUAUGAACAAAAUUCAGUGACAGAUAGGGACGGUAUGGCUUCACCCCAGGAAAUCCAGCGCGAUGAGAUUUUCAAGAGUGACAACAUACCCUCAUGGAUGGCAUACACUGGAUACGCCGUGCUUAGCAUCAUCUCAUCAAUCAGCAUACCCCUGAUGUUCCGUCAGAUCAAGUGGUACUAUGAGAUAGUAGCAUAUCUCCUUGCACCUGUGCUCGGGUUCUCCAAUUCCUACGGAGCAGGUCUCACUGACAUCAACAUGGCCUACAACUACGGCAAGAUCGCCCUCUUCAUCUUCGCAGCCUGGGCUGGCAAGAAAAAUGGUGUAAUUGCCGGCCUGGUUGGUGGUACGCUGGUGAAGCAGUUGGUCCUCAUGUCUGCCGAAUUGAUGCAUGACUUGAAGACGAGUUAUCUCACGUCGACAUCCCCAAGGUCCAUGCUUGUGGCACAGGCUAUCGGGACGGGCAUGGGCUGCAUCGUCUCACCCCUCACCUUCAUGCUCUUCUACAAGGCAUUUGAUGUUGGUAACCCGGAUAGCUAUUGGAAGGCGCCGUAUGCACUCAUAUACCGUAGUAUGGCGAUUCUCGGUGUGGAAGGCUUCUCAGCUUUGCCAAAGCACUGCCUCUCAAUCUCGGCUGGAAUUUUUGCAUUUGCGAUGCUUCUGAGUAUUGCAAGGGAUAUCCUACCACGCAGGUACGGCAAGUAUGUUCCACUACCGAUGGCAAUGGCGGUGCCUUUUCUUGUAGGUGGGAGCUUUGCCAUUGACAUGUGCAUCGGGAGUUUUGUGGUAUUUGUGUGGGAGAAGAUGAACAAGAAGGAGGCUGCCAUCCAAGUGCCUGCUGUUGCAUCCGGCUUGAUAUGUGGGGAUGGCAUAUGGGUAUUCCCAUCUUCCCUACUUGCUCUUGCCAAGAUUAACCCUCCAAUCUGCAUGAAGUUCACUCCUGCCAGCUAG
rnacentral:rRNA from 1 species